rfam:Heligmosomoides polygyrus genome assembly, scaffold: HPBE_scaffold0002078
GCGCCGGUGGUGUAAAGGCGAAGAGCAUUCCCGCCCGGUCAGAGGGAGGUGCGGGUUCGAGUCCCGCCUGGCGCU